GAUGAAGAACGUAGCGAAAUGCGAAAAGUAAUGUGAAUUGCAGAAUUCAGUGAAUCAUCGAAUCUUUGAACGCACCUUGCGCCUUUUGGUAUUCCGAAAGGCACACCUGUUUGAGCGUCAUGAAUACCUCAAUCUCCAUCUUUUCUUCGGAUUGAUGGGUGACUUGGAUGUUGAGCCCUGCUGGUAUGCUAUAUCAGCUGGCUUUAAACUUAUUAGCCGGCUCUGUACUGGAUCGGUUUGACUCGACGUGAUAAUAUUAUCGUUGAGGAUGCAUGUCUCAUGCAGCCGGAAAGUAUCAAAGCAGCUUCUAGCUUGCCUUUAGUGCACUUUUACAUUUUACACCUCAGAUCAGGUGGGACUACCCGCUGAACUUAAGCAUAUCAAUAAGCGGAUGA
rnacentral:misc_RNA from 1 species